rnacentral:rRNA from 1 species
UUGAACGCUGGCGGCAUGCUUUACACAUGCAAGUCGAACGGUAACAGGCCUUCGGGUGCUGACGAGUGGCGAACGGGUGAGUAAUGCAUCGGAACGUGCCCAAUCGUGGGGGAUAACGUAGCGAAAGUUACGCUAAUACCGCAUACGCCCUGAGGGGGAAAGCAGGGGAUCUUCGGACCUUGUGCGAAUGGAGCGGCCGAUGUCAGAUUAGCUAGUUGGUGGGGUAAAGGCCCACCAAGGCGACGAUCUGUAGCGGGUCUGAGAGGAUGAUCCGCCACACUGGGACUGAGACACGGCCCAGACUCCUACGGGAGGCAGCAGUGGGGAAUUUUGGACAAUGGGCGCAAGCCUGAUCCAGCCAUGCCGCGUGCAGGAUGAAGGCCUUCGGGUUGUAAACUGCUUUUGUACGGAACGAAAAGACUCCUUCUAAUAAAGGGGGUCCAUGACGGUACCGUAAGAAUAAGCACCGGCUAACUACGU